rnacentral:rRNA from 1 species
UACAGAGGGGGCAAGCGUUGUUCGGAAUUACUGGGCGUAAAGGGCGCGUAGGCGGCCAACUAAGUCAGACGUGAAAUCCCCUGGCUCAACCAGGGAACUGCGUCUGAUACUGGAUGGCUUGAAUCCGGGAGAGGGAUGUGGAAUUCCAGGUGUAGCGGUGAAAUGCGUAGAUAUCUGGAGGAACACCGGUGGCGAAGGCGGCUCCCUGGUCCGUUACUGACGCUGAGACGCGAAAGCGCGGGGAGCGAACGGG